rnacentral:rRNA from 1 species
UACGAAGGGGGCUAGCGUUGCUCGGAAUCACUGGGCGUAAAGGGUGCGUAGGCGGGUCUUUAAGUCAGGGGUGAAAUCCUGGAGCUCAACUCCAGAACUGCCUUUGAUACUGAGGAUCUUGAGUUCGGGAGAGGUGAGUGGAACUGCGAGUGUAGAGGUGAAAUUCGUAGAUAUUCGCAAGAACACCAGUGGCGAAGGCGGCUCACUGGCCCCGAUACUGACGCUGAGGCACGAAAAGCGUGGGGGAGCAAACAGGG